GGGGAUUUAGCUCAGUGGUAGAGCACUUGCCUAGCAAGCACAAGGUCCUGGGUUCGGUCCCCAGCUCUG
rfam:Rattus norvegicus chromosome 3, whole genome shotgun sequence.